CCGAGCCCUGGCGGCGAGCGGGGGGGGGGUAAUGCAUCGGAACGUGUCUCGUAAUGGGGGAUAACGCCGCGAAAGCGGCGCUAAUACCGCAUACGCUCUGAGGAGGAAAGUGGGGGACUUCGCAAGGAGCCUCACGUUAGGGGAGCGGCCGAUGUCCGAUUAGCUAGUUGGUGGGGUAAUGGCUUACCAAGGCUUCGAUCGGUAGCUGGUCUGAGAGGAUGAUCGGCCACACUGGGACUGAGACACGGCCCAGACUCCUACGGGAGGCAGCAGUGGGGAAUUUUGGACAAUGGGGGCAACCCUGAUCCAGCCAUGCCGCGUGCGGGAAGAAGGCCUUCGGGUUGUAAACCGCUUUUAGCCGGGAAGAAAAGGCUUUCCCAAUGGGUGGUUUUUGACGGUACCGGCGGAAUAAGCACCGGCUAACUACGUGCCAGCAGCCGCGGUAAUACCUAGGGUGCGAGCGUUAGUCGUAAUUACUGGGCGUAAAGCGUGCGCAGGCGGUU
rnacentral:rRNA from 1 species